GACGAACGCUGGCGGCGUGCCUAAUACAUGCAAGUUGAGCGCUGAAGGUUGGUACUUGUACCAACUGGAUGAGCAGCGAACGGGUGAGUAACGCGUGGGGAAUCUGCCUUUGAGCGGGGGACAACAUUUGGAAACGAAUGCUAAUACCGCAUAAAAACUUUAAACACAAGUUUUAAGUUUGAAAGAUGCAAUUGCAUCACUCAAAGAUGAUCCCGCGUUGUAUUAGCUAGUCGGUGAGGUAAAGGCUCACCAAGGCGAUGAUACAUAGCCGACCUGAGAGGGUGAUCGGCCACAUUGGGACUGAGACACGGCCCAAACUCCUACGGGAGGCAGCAGUAGGGAAUCUUCGGCAAUGGACGAAAGUCUGACCGAGCAACGCCGCGUGAGUGAAGAAGGUUUUCGGAUCGUAAAACUCUGUUGGUAGAGAAGAACGUUGGUGAGAGUGGAAAGCUCAUCAAGUGACGGUAACUACCCAGAAAGGGACGGCUAACUACGUG
rnacentral:rRNA from 1 species